AGAGUUUGAUCCUGGCUCAGGACGAACGCUGGCGGCGUGCUUAACACAUGCAAGUCAAGGAGAACGGAUCCUUCGGGAUACUAUUAAACUGGCGAACGGGUGAGUAACACGUAGGCAACCUGCCUUGGAGAUUGGGAUAACCCCGGGAAACCGGGACUAAUGCCAAAUAAUGCAGCGGAUCCUUCGGGAUAUGUUGUUAAAGUGGGCUUCGGCUCACACUUCAAGAUGGGCCUGCGUCCGAUUAGCUUGUUGGUGAGGUAAUGGCUCACCAAGGCGAUGAUCGGUAGCUGGUCUGAGAGGAUGAUCGGCCACACUGGGAUUGAGAUACGGCCCAGACUCCUACGGGAGGCAGCAGUGGGGAAUUUUGCGCAAUGGACGAAAGUCUGACGCAGCAACGCCGCGUGAUCGAUGAAGCUUUUAGGAGUGUAAAGAUCUGUCGUGAGGGAAGAAAAAUCUGGAUGUAAAUGAUGUUCAGACUUGACGGUACCUCAUAAGAAAGCACCGGCUAACUUUGUGCCAGCAGCCGCGGUAAUACGAGGGGUGCUAGCGUUGUCCGGAAUUACUGGGCGUAAAGGGUCCGUAGGCGUCUUGCCAAGUUGAUCGUUAAAUCCACCGGCUUAACCGGUGAUCUGCGAUCAAAACUGGCAGGAUAGAAUAUGUGAGGGGAAUGUGGAAUUCCUGGUGUAGCGGUGACAUGCGUAGAUAUCAGGAGGAACACCAAUGGCGAAGGCAGCAUUCUGGCACAAUAUUGACGCUGAGGGACGAAAGCGUGGGGAGCAAACAGGAUUAGAUACCCUGGUAGUCCACGCCGUAAACGAUGAGUACUUGGUGGUGGGGGAUUCGACCCCUUCACUAUCGGAGCUAACGCGUUAAGUACUCCGCCUGGGGAAUACGGCCGCAAGGUUAAAACUCAAAUGAAUUGACGGGGGCCCGCACAAGCGGUGGAGCAUGUGGUUUAAUUCGAUGCAACGCGAAGAACCUUACCAUCCCUUGACAUCCACAGAAGAGACUAGAGAUAGACUUGUGCCUUCGGGAACUGUGUGACAGGUGCUGCAUGGCUGUCGUCAGCUCGUGUCGUGAGAUGUUGGGUUAAGUCCCGCAACGAGCGCAACCCUCUUUUUCAGUUGCCAGCGGUUCGGCCGGGCACUCUGAAGAUACCGCCGGUGACAAGCCGGAGGAAGGCGGGGAUGACGUCAAGUCCUCAUGGCCCUUACAGGCUGGGCUACACACGUGCUACAAUGGCGGUUACAAUGGGCUGCAAUAGGGCGACCUGGAGCAAAUCCUCAAAAACCGUCUCAGUUCGGAUUGUUCUCUGCAACUCGAGAGCAUGAAGUCGGAAUCGCUAGUAAUCGCGGAUCAGCAUGCCGCGGUGAAUACGUUCCCGGGCCUUGUACACACCGCCCGUCACACCAUGGGAGUUGGUUUUACCUGAAGCCGGUGCGCUAACCUUCGGGAGGCACCCGACCACGGUAAGGUCAGCGACUGGGGUGAAGUCGUAACAAGGUAACC
rnacentral:rRNA from 1 species